AACACGAACCUGAUUAACCCAGCUUUGGAGUUUCGAACUAAAGCAAUCGUUCUCCUUUGGAGUUAUGAUGUAAAGCAAUUCAGUGGACAAGAGAGGCUGCAAAUCUGCCACAAUGCCGAGAAAGAGCCCAAUUCGUGUGAGGUGGUUUUCAUUAUCGAUAAGCGCGAGGCAGGCGUUGACUAAUCCGAGCGGAAUCUCCAUGAUCAAGGCCAUCGGAAGAUCAGGAUUUUGGCAUUUCGAACUUCUUUUCCCAGUACAAGAGGAAGAUAUUGAACGAAGAAGAUCAGCUUCUCGAUCACAAAAAUAUUAGAAGCGAGAGCCCACAAACAAUAGGCACGAGGGCUCUGGCCCGUCGCAACACCUUAGGCUUUGCCCCACUUUGCUUUCUAUAACU